GGGUAGAGUAAUGCGUGACCAACCUGCCCCAUGCUCCAGAAUAGCUCUUGGAAACGGGUGGUAAUGCUGGAUGCUCCAACUUGACGCAUGUCUUGUUGGGAAAGUGUUUAGUGGCAUGGGAUGGGGUCGCGUCCUAUCAGCUUGUAGGCGGGGUAAUGGCCCACCUAGGCUUCGACGGGUAGCCGGCCUGAGAGGGCGGACGGCCACAUUGGGACUGAGAUACGGCCCAGACUCCUACGGAGGCAGCAGNU
rnacentral:rRNA from 1 species